rnacentral:rRNA from 1 species
CAGCAGCCGCGGGAAUACGUAGGUGGCAAGCGUUGUCCGGAAUUAUUGGGCGUAAAGGGCUCGCAGGCGGUUUCUUAAGUCUGAUGUGAAAGCCCCCGGCUCAACCGGGGAGGAUCAUUGGAAACUGGGAAACCUGAGUGCAGAAGAGGAGAGUGGAAUUCCACGUGUAGCGGUGAAAUGCGUAGAGAUGUGGAGGAACACCAGUGGCGAAGGCGACUCUCUGGUCUGUAACUGACGCUGAGGAGCGAAAGCGUGGGGAGCGAACAGGAUUAGAUACCCCUGUAGUCCCUGUCUCUUAUAC